CCUGUUGGGCUGGCCGGGAGAAUAGGGAAACAGGUGCAAAACCUGUGCGGGACCGCCGCCGUAAUGGCUGAGCCUGAACCUGACUGCAAGUCACUGCAUAUUUGUGUGGGAAGACCUGGGUUUGGGUUAUGACGCCAGAGCCGGAAGACCUGCCUUGGGAUUCA
rnacentral:ncRNA from 1 species